UGAGGAAUAUUGGUCAAUGGACGGAAGUCUGAACCAGCCAUGUCGCGUGCAGGUGACGGCCCUACGGGUCUUAAACUGCUUUUAUAUGGGGAUAACAGACGGGACGUGUCCCGUAUUGAAGGUACCAUAUGAAUAAGGAUCGGCUAACUCCGUGCCAGCAGCCGCGGUAAUACGGAGGAUUCGAGCGUUAUCCGGAUUUAUUGGGUUUAAAGGGUGCGCAGGCGGGCUGUUAAGUCAGCGGUGAAAUUUUGUGGCUCAACCAUAAAACUGCCGUUGAUACUGGCGGUCUUGAGUGACGUCGAGGGAGGCGGAAUGUGACGUGUAGCGGUGAAAUGCUUAGAUAUGUCACAGAACCCCGAUUGCGAAGGCAGCUUCCUAGAGGUCAACUGACGCUCAAGCACGAAAGCAUGGGUAUCAAACAGG
rnacentral:rRNA from 1 species